UAAUCAAUUCCUAACCUACUUUGAUUAAGUCCAAACAAAUUUCACUCCAAACAAAACUUGUCCAAAAAAUUAAGAGAGGAAGAAGAGUGAGAUCCAACGAAACCCUAGAUCUACUCGCCGCCAUUGUCACCGUCAAGCUCGCCGUAGCGUCUGAGAUCAGAGGGGAAGUAAGCUCGUCGCUGCUGCCAUUCUCGCCGUUGCUGCCAUUCAUGUCCUCAUCGUUGUCGCAAUCAAGCUUCUACAUCAAAGUGUUGUCUUCUUCAUCUACAUGCAAUAACUUCAUCAAUGCAUACUUUCCAAUUCUUUCAACUCUUCAACUACAUUAACAUUUAAUUUUCACGUUUUCAAUUGCAGCGCAUGAAUCUCACCGCAGUCAAAGACGCCGACGAAGUCAUGGAGAGGCACGUCGAGGACUCGCUCGCGAUCCUCCUUCCUCUUAGGGAUUGCUACCGCACGCGCUACGGCGACACUCCGUCACAUGAGAAGCUUAGCCUCGUAGACAUUGGAACAGGUGCUGGUCUUCCCAGAGUUGUUUUGGCCAUAGCUUGUCCAGAAUGGGAAGUUACGCUGAUAGAGUCCAUGAACAAGAGAUGCGUAUUUUUGGAGCAUGUUGUUGGAAUCAUCGGUUCAUCAAAUAUCCAGAUAGUAAGAGGAAGAACAGAGGAAAAAGAAAAAUAAGAGAAUAACAAGGUUUUAUCUGAAUAACUGGGAUGCUUUUGGUGAUGCUGCUCUUGAGCUUGGUAAAUUGUUGGUAAUUUUUAUCAUACUAUAUUAUUUAUCAAUUCAUUAUUAUGAAUAUACUUGUCUAUUCUACUUGUUUUUUCUUCUCCUUCGAAGAACUCUUACAUGUGCUUUAUCUAUAGUUGUUAUAUUGAAAGGUUGAAAAGAAGAUUGAUUUGGUUUAUGAUAGAAGAAGAUUAUGCCUAAUAACGUUGCUACCCACUCAGAGUGCUACAAAAAAAAUUGAGAUCCUACAAAAGAAAUUGAAUGAAGCUCAAAUGACCAUCCAAAUGAAGAGGAAAGAAGCCAAGGAUCAAAUAGAGAGGCACACAAAAGCAGAAUGGGCAAUAUGUUUAUGCAAUAGUAGGGUAAUGCUAAUAUUCCAAAGCAUUAUGAUGCCAUAUAUUCUUUUUAUUUAUUUAUUUGGGUUAAACUCAACUUUAAUUUGCUUUUGGUAUAUAAAUAUAGAUAUGUUCAUCUUAUUACUUAUUAAUAACUCCUUAAAAAUAAAACCUACAAAAGUAAAUUUUUACUCUUACUAAAAGUUAUACUAGUGAUAUUAAACCCUCAAAUUUUGUUUCAAAAAUGAUAUUCUUAUACAUUUUAAGUGAAUAUUAAAAGAAAACAAUUAUACAUAUAUGAUUAGACUGAAGAAGUUGAAUAAAAAAAAAAGAAAGAAGUGAGUGCAAGAGAAGAAAUUAAGAAGGAAGUGAUGGCAAACAAAGAGCAGGGCAAGGUAGUUCUAGUUAUCUUUCUACUCUUUUUACCUUUUUCCUUCUUCCUACCAACAAGUACCAAACCUUGUUUUUCAUGUGAAAGAUAUUUAUAUCACCAUACAUCAAAGGUGAAAACUGAAAACCUUAAACCAAUAGUGAUGGCAUGGACACGCUAUUUCUAAUUUUAUUUGAGUAAAAUCCUGCUGACCAUUUUAUUGAAAAAAAGAUAAAAUUUGUUGAAUUUAAGAUAUAACGAGUUACGAGUGUAUUAAAGAUAGUUAAUUUAGUAGAUUAUCUAAAUAUAAGAAAAUACUAGGCCAUGAACAAGUUAUUAAUUUUUUAAAAUAAAUAUAUAAGUUAAAGUAAAUUUAAGGAAAUAAGUUUAUUUAAUAUUUUUUACAUCUUUAUACAUGAUGUGGAUUCUUGUGGUACAUGCAUUUUCAAUGUAGAAAAUUAAAACUGUCAUUACUCUUAUUUUGAUCAUGGCAUGUUUUUAUUACUACAUUGGUUCAUGUUGAUAAAUAUCAUAUGAGAUCAGAUGGAUGGUACCAGAAAGAUAGAUAUUUUGUCCAUCAAGUCAUGUUUCUCUUACUGUUAAUCUGAGAGGCAGGACACUUGGUUCACUGAAAAUUCUCCAAACAUCAAGAACAAGGUAAUUGCGGUGGCUGUUGGAGAUUGGUAUUUCGACCGCGCAGGUGUGAAGGUGAUUGAUUGUCCUUACCCUUGUGAUAACACCUGUCACCAUCUCGUAUUCAGAUCAUGACCCCUAUUUUCAGGAUGAGAUGGCGGGUGUAAUCUCCGUUAGAAGCAAACAGCGAAUGCCACUACAGUUGAAAGAAGGAUUCAGCAAGACAAGAGACUUCAGUGUAUUUGAGCAUUUUAUCAGAAAGCACCGAUCCCCUAGUGACAAUUCUUUGUUAUUAUAUUCGGCUUCAAAUCAAUGAGCCUGGAUUGGGAUGGUCAGGUCCAGCGUGUAUAGCCUCACUAGGACAUUUUUUCCUGAAAUUCAGAAAACAAACAAAGGAAGAUGGAAUAUCAGAUAGCAAAAUGACAGAAUCUGCAGCUAUUCAUGUUGUUGAAGAAAGUUCUACUCUUAUUUGAGUUUCUAUAAGCCCCCCAAUAUAAGUCUGCCUUAUCGAAUUGAGAAUUCUCUGCAUAAUCUAUCAAUAACUUACUACCAAAAGAUAAAUUUCCAGGGUUUAUUAGAGCCAGAGGUUCUUGGACCAGGAUCAAAUGCAAAUUAUGCCUGGGAUGAUCUGACUCUUCCACAUAGGCUGGUUGUUCGCAUCAAUGGGCAUUCUUUAUGCUGGAAAUGACACCUUAUUUGAAUCUACUGGUCUAUAUGGCAGGAUAUGUUACUUCUUUCCCUUUCCUAGUUUUUCUUUUACUCAAGCUUUGUGAUAAGACAAAAUUAUUAAUUGUUUUAAUUAUUUGUUGUUUCAGUCAUCUGUCCGGAGAGUUGCUCUUCAUACAGGCAAGGUGGAGGAGCUUCAGAGGAUGGGUGAUUCUUUAUUUGGAGAAGGUUUAACUCUACUUGAUAAAAGGUAUGUGAUGAAAAUUGACAUUUUCUUUUUUGGUUUAUUUUGAUGUACUAUGCAUUGAACAUGAACAGGUAUUAUUGUUUGGAGUAAAGGCUAUAGGGAUUAAAAGAAAGGAUCCUCAUUGUAAUAGAAAUUUCUAAAUACUCCUAUUUUAGCUUUAACUGCUACUGCAAUAGCUAGUGUAAGCAUUAGGACUUGUUAACUGUAUUGUUAGUUUGUUAUUCUUUUUGGAUGAUAAUGGUAUGGCUAGAAAUCAAGAUCUAUUUGCAUUGUUUGC